GGGUCAUUAGGUUGGUCGUGCCACCGGUACGUACUGGUCUCACUGAUUCCUCCUUCCUGAAGAACCGUAAUGCCAUUAAUUUGGUGUUGCGGGGAAACAGGACUGUUACUUUGAAAAAAUUAGAGUGUAUAAAGCAAGCUAACGCUUGAAUACAUUAGCAUGGAAUAAUGAAAUAGGACGAUCGAUCCUAUUUUGUUGGUUUCUAGGAUUGACGUA
rnacentral:rRNA from 1 species